UACGAAGGGGGCUAGCGUUGCUCGGAAUCACUGGGCGUAAAGCGCACGUAGGCGGCUAUUCAAGUCGGGGGUGAAAGCCCGGGGCUCAACCCCGGAACUGCCCUCGAAACUAGAUAGCUAGAAUCUUGGAGAGGCGAGUGGAAUUCCGAGUGUAGAGGUGAAAUUCGUAGAUAUUCGGAAGAACACCAGUGGCGAAGGCGACUCGCUGGACAAGUAUUGACGCUGAGGUGCGAAAGCGUGGGGAGCAAACAGG
rnacentral:rRNA from 1 species